rnacentral:rRNA from 1 species
GACGAACGCUGGCGUCGUGCUUAACACAUGCAAGUCACGGGGGCCCGCAAGGGCAACCGGCGAACGGGUGCGUAACACGUGAGCAAGCUACCGAUUUCUGGGGAUAGCCGGCCCAACGGCCGGGUAAUACCGCAUACGUUCACUAGGCGGCAUCGUCUGGUGAGGAAACCUCCGGGGGAAAUCGAGGCGCUCGCGGCCUAUCAGCUAGUUGGCGGGGUAACGGCCCACCAAGGCGACGACGGGUAGCUGGUCUGAGAGGAUGGCCAGCCACAUUGGGACUGCGACACGGCCCAGACUCCUACGGGAGGCAGCAGUGGGGAAUAUUGCGCAAUGGACGAAAGUCUGACGCAGUGACGCCGCGUGUGGGAUGAAGCUCUUCGGGGUGUAAACCACUGUUGCCCCGGGACGAAACUCCUUUUUUGCGAGAGGGACUGACGGUACCGGGUGAGGAAGCACCGGCUAACUCUGUGCCAGCAGCCGCGGUAAUACAGAGGGUGCGAGCGUUGUCCGGAAUCACUGGGCGUAAAGGGCGCGUAGGUGGCUUGGUAAGCGUGUGGUGAAAGUCCGGGGCUCAACCCCGGAUCUGCCGUGCGAACUGCUAGGCUCGAGCAUUGUAGAGGCAGGUGGAAUUCCGGGUGUAGCGGUGGAAUGCGUAGAGAUCCGGAAGAACACCAGUGGCGAAGGCGGCCUGCUGGGCAAUUGCUGACACUGAGGCGCGACAGCGU